rnacentral:rRNA from 1 species
UACGGAGGGUGCAAGCGUUAAUCGGAAUUACUGGGCGUAAAGCGUGCGCAGGCGGUUGUGUAAGACAGGUGUGAAAUCCCCGGGCUUAACCUGGGAACUGCGCUUGUGACUGCACGGCUAGAGUAUGGCAGAGGGGGGUGGAAUUCCACGUGUAGCAGUGAAAUGCGUAGAUAUGCGGAGGAACACCGAUGGCGAAGGCAAUCCCCUGGGCCUGCACUGACGCUCAUGCACGAAAGCGUGGGGAGCAAAC